GCCAACACAUGCUGUCUUAAUUUGUUUGCAUGCCUGUGUCUGGGUGCAUUGGGUGGCAAAGUCAGCAAGGGCCUGGUUGCAAGUUUUUAACAGCACGACUUCACCUGCCUGAUACCAGCAGGCAAUGCUGGGAGGAAAUGUCAGACGCUUGCUAACAGAGUCUGAUUCGCGAGGGGAGGAGAAGUAGUAGUAGGCAUUUAAAUGCCAACACACCUCUGUAUUAAAACACCAUUAUAUACAGAGAGAUUGUA